UGAUGCGAAGACGGCGAGGAGAAUCAUGUUCCAUAUUCACAUGGUAAUAGUUUUGUUCUUUGCUGUUAGUGUGAGGAAAGAAACAUUAGAAUUAGGUCAGUUUGUUUAUUAUUAUUAGAAUUAGGUCAUGCUGAUUGUAAGAGAUGGAGUUGAGGCGUUAUCAUUCCCACUUUUUAUGCGGAACUUUUUUUACACGUGGUACUGCUUAUUCCAGAACGAUAAAGGCGUAAAGCUGAAGUUCCUCUUGGUGUGAAGAUUUAGGAGUUUUAAAAGUUGUUGGGAUUGAACUUUGUAAUGGUCCAAUUUGAAAAGUUGCAUCUAUGGCUGCUGGGUUUUUUUUGCAAUAUUUUCAAGGAAAUGGUAUCAACUAUGGAUUACGAGGAUGUGCAUCUCUAGCUGUGGAUCCGGAGCAAGCUGAAGCACAAUCACUGUUGGAAGCGGUUCAAUGGGCGCAAAGGAAUGGUUGGAGGAAGAUGUAUCUGGAAGGGGUCUGCUCAAAUGUGAUAUCAGCUAUCAAUGGAAAGACAGCAACAAUAAAAUGUACAACACAAAAUCUUGUCCAAAAUACUCUUAAUAUUCUCAGUUCUUUUGAGUUUUGGGUUUGCACUUAUGCGCACAGAGAUGCAAAUCACAUAGCAGAUUCUCUAGCAAAGUAUGCAAG